rnacentral:rRNA from 1 species
AGCGUAUAUUAAAGUUGUUGCAGUUAAAAAGCUCGUAGUUGAAUUUCGGGAUUAGUACGUUGGUCGUGCCUUCGGUACGUACUGGUGUUACUGAUUCCUACCUUCUGACGAACCAUCAUGUCAUUAAUUUGGUGUGGUGGGGAAUCAGGACUGUUACUUUGAAAAAAUUAGAGUGUUUAAAGCAGGCUCGCGCUUGAAUACAUUAGCAUGGAAUAAUGAAAUAGGACGUUGAUCCUAUUUUGUUGGUUUCUAGGAUUGACGUAAUGAUUAAUAGGGAUAGUUGGGGGCAUUAGUAUUCAAUUGUCAGAGGUGAAAUUCUUGGAUUUAUUGAAGACUAACUACUGCGGAAGCAUUUGCCAAGGAUGUUUUCAUUAAUCAAGAACGAAAGUUAGGGGACCGAAGACGAUCAGAUACCGUCGUAGUCUUAACCAUAAACUAUGCCGACUAGGGAUCGGAUGAUGUUAUUUUUAAUGACUC